CCUACGGGUGGCUGCAGUGAGGAAUAUUGGUCAAUGGACGAGAGUCUGAACCAGCCAAGUAGCGUGAAGGAUGACUGCCCUAUGGGUUGUAAACUUCUUUUAUAUGGGAAUAAAAUGUUCCACGUGUGGGAUUUUGUAUGUACCAUAUGAAUAAGGAUCGGCUAACUCCGUGCCAGCAGCCGCGGUAAUACGGAGGAUCCGAGCGUUAUCCGGAUUUAUUGGGUUUAAAGGGAGCGUAGGUGGAUUGUUAAGUCAGGUGUGAAAGUUUGCGGCUCAACCGUAAAAUUGCAGUUGAAAAUGGCAGUCUUGAGUACAGUAGAGGUGGGCGGAAUUCGUGGUGUAGCGGUGAAAUGCUUAGAUAUCACGAAGAACUCCGAUUGCGAAGGCAGUUCACUGGACUGCAACUGACACUGAGGCUCGAAAGUGUGGGUAUCAAACAGGAUUAGAUACCCGUGUAGUC
rnacentral:rRNA from 1 species